AUGAGGCACGAGAACUGNAACAUGAGGCACGAGAACUGCUGGCCUCACCCAGCGGCUUUUUUGCCGGCGUUUAGCGCUCAGCACAAGAAACACGUCCCUCACAUACAGUUAUUUAUAAAAACAAACACUGUACAUCAUAUACAACUGCUAAAUUAUGUAAACUCAGCUCAUAUAGUACAAGAUUGAACCAACAUACAGAGAGACAGCAGUACCGCCUGACUGCAUAGGUAUUGCGCAAUCCAAGGUGAGGCUCAGCGGGCUGGUGGCUCAUCGAACGUCACUUCUUAGUAUCUGAACGGCAAAUGCGGAAAUUCAGCGAUUUUGAAAAGAAAAACACCCAAAAAUGGUACAUUUAAAUGGAAAAUGACUGCAAAGCACAAAUUACUGAUUAAAUAUAAUAAUUGAAUUUAUUUUUUCUCUUUUCUUCCCAUAAUGGCAGGUGAGGCAGGUGUCUCUCCUGACUGCACGUCACUGAGACACAUAACAUUAAAAAGUAAUAAACUGAAGGAAACUUUAGCAGAUUUUUAGUGGUUAUGAAAACAUGAUCUUCCACAUGAAGCCAAAACCAAAUCGUUCACAUAUUUUAAGAAACACCAGUAAAACUGAUCACAAAAACAAAUUUUUCUGGAAUGCUAAGGGUUAUAGCUUGUUGGUUUGUGGGAGAAACUCUUUCAUUUGAACAUGUAAAGAAAACCCAACCCUCCCAACCAACCAAUCAGGAGGACGUUUCUCUGCAACCAUAGUUGGGAUGAACAGAUUUUCUCUUAAAUGAAGGAAAAGCCUUGAAGAAAUGGGUCAGAGGUCAAGCUGAUGAGUUGAUGCUUUACUGAUCAAUCAGCAGAAAAGCUGUUUGCUGCUUCUCUCACAUCUCACUUUGCUGUAUUUCCAGGUGGAUCUUUGACUGUAUAAGAGACCUGGAGCGAGUGAGUGUGAUGUCACAGUUGAUGUGAGUAAGCAGCGAUUGGGCCGAGUCGGUCUGGAACAACCAAUCAGGAGUGAGCUUGUUGGAAGUCCACAACCCUACCACUUAAAAGCGGACUACACAAAAUCUGUCAAAGGUCAGUUUAUAACUUAAAUAACUUUUACUACAGAAAAAAAUGUGGGAAAAAAUUAGGAUAAGUUAAAA
rnacentral:lncRNA from 1 species